CAAAAAAGUAAGGCUAUAAUACCCUUUACUUUUCGUCCAUUUUUAGCGACUUUUUGCAUUUUUCAUAAAGCAGCAAAAAUAGCAAAAAAGUAAGCCUAUAGCCUUAACUUUUCGUCCAUUUUCAGCCACUUUUCUCAUUUUUCAUAAAGCAGCAAAAAUUAGCAAAAAAGUAAGCCUAUAGCCUUAACUUUUCGUCCAUUUUCAGCGACUUUUCUCAUUUUUCAUAAAGCAGCAAAAAUUAGCAAAAAAGUAAGCCUAUAGAUAGCCUUAACUUUUCGUCCAUUUUCAGCCACUUUUCUGAUUUUUCAUAAAGCAGCAAAAAUUAGCAAAAAAGUAAGCCUAUAGCCUUAACUUUUCGUCCAUUUUCAGCCACUUUUUUCAUCAAUGACCAAAAACAAACAAAAAAGUAAGGCUAUAAUACCCUUUACUUUUCGUCCAUUUUUAGCGACUUUUUGCAUUUUUCAUAAAGCAGUCAAAAAUAGCAAAAAAGUAAGCCUAUAGCCUUAACUUUUCGUCCAUUUUCAGCCACUUUUCUCAUUUUUCAUAAAGCAGCAAAAAUAGCAAAAAAGUAAGCCUAUAGCCUUAACUUUUCGUCCAUUUUCAGCCACUUUUCUCAUUUUUCAUAAAGCAGCAAAAAAGUAAGCCUAUAGCCUUAACUUUUCGUCCAUUUUCAGCCACUUUUUCCAUUUUUCAUCAAUGACCAAAAAACAACAAAAAAGUAAGGCUAUAAUACCCUUUACUUUUCGUCCAUUUUUAGCGACUUUUUGCAUUUUUCAUAAAGCAGCAAAAAAUAGCAAAAAAGUAAGUCUAUAGCCUUAACUUUUCGUCCAUUUUCAGCCACUUUUCUCAUUUUUCAUAAAGCAGCAAAAAUUAGCAAAAAAGUAAGUCUAUAGCCUUAACUUUUCGUCCAUUUUCAGCCCCUUUUCUCAUUUUUCAUAAAGCAGCAAAAAUUAGCAAAAAAGUAAGGCUAUAGCCUUAACUUUUCGUCCAUUUUCAGCCAUUUUUCUCAUUUUUCAUAAAGCAGCAAAAAUUAGCAAAAAAGUAAGCCUAUAGCCUUAACUUUACGUCCAUUUUCAGCCACUUUUCUCAUUUUUCAUAAAGCAA